UUCCUUUUGGCCUAAAUUUAUGUUUUGAUCAUAGUUCUGUCUGAAGGACAAAAUUUCUUUCUGAGAUCUGCACAUCGAUGCUCAACUCUAAUAAGCAGCUCUCACUUUGAGUGGAUCACCCAGUGAGAUCAAUGGGACUUCUGCAUACAGCGUAAGAACAGUGUAUUAGAGAUUCAGAAAUGUUAAGAGAAGAAUACCUACAGUCUUCAAAUCUGAGCUCCUCUGUAUGCGGACCAUGGGCAGGCUCAGCAAUCCCAGUUUCCAGCUACCCUUGUAUGGAAGGUGCUCCAAGCCCUUAAUCAUCUUUGUGAACCUUCACUGGACUUGCUCAGGUUAGCUUUUAUGGAGAACAUAAAGAACUGGAAUGCAAACGCAAGUGUGAACAGAGGGCCAGUUAAGGUACUCAUUCAGAAACCUGAAGGAUCAGCUAUGUCUUAAAUAACACCUCCUUCUGGGGACUUAAGGUAGGGAGAAAUGCUCACCAUCUUUCAGGGUUUCUUUUGAAAAAAAUAAAUGUAAAAAUUCUUUCUUUUAAACAGAUGGCUAAAAAGUAGCUGUUUCCUCUUCUCCCCUCAUUUAUCUCAGUAGCUAAACUACUCACUGAAGAGGUAGAGUACUUCAGUUCACAGCUUCUUCUAUCCAGGGAAUUGAAAUUCAAAUUUAAAUCCUUAUCUGUCUUUCUAGAGAGUGCUUCAUCACCACUGUAUGUUGCACCAUGUGUAUAUCUGUACGUAUGUAAGAGAGCAUUUUUCUCAGUCUUUUUAGGGAAAGAGUUUAUUUUGCAUGACAUACUAAUUAGGGAGCAGGUGCACCCCUUUGCAGUCUAAGCUCAUAGUUAGAACACUUUCCUGGAUGGCAGGAAAAAUACAGAUACCCUAAAACACAGGAAUUAAUUCAAAACAGACCUCCUGCACUGUGCUUUGUUCUGAGGACUGGAUAAAAAGAUUUACCAAUGAUUACCACUCUUGUAUUCCUCUAAUACUACAUUUUAGAGUUCUUGUGAAAUUAAAAUUGAGCAUUUUGUACUGAAACAGGUUUUUUUUUCUUUAUUACUAAUAGAAAAAAUAGAAGCUGAUCUUUGCAAUAGCAUUCCCAUAUAGACUCCAGAGAGAUAUUUUAUUGUAUUUAGGGCAAGAACUAAUUCAGAGAAAGGCUCUUUUGUUCACCAUCUAUGAAUCUUGACCUUGACCUGGAAAGUCUAUCCUCAGUGUUGCAUGUGGGGCAAUUAAGCUUCUGUGAAGAAAAACAUCCCUAUCAUAGCAAAAUAUGUCAAGUGUAUCAGAGCUCAAACCUCCAAUCUAAUUUUAUUCUUUUUAAAUGAGCCAAGCUGCUUAAAAUUAACUUGAAUGAACAGAGAACAAAAGCAUUUAAUAGGUCCGAGAAACUUAAGUUUCUUUACUCUGUUUUGGGUUGUUAGGAUGUUUAUUUGUUUGUUUGUUGUGGGGUGAGCACAUUUCCAAAGACAUAGAUAUCCAACACCAGCCAUGGGGCUCAGACAUUUCAUUUAACUGAGCUACACUGGCCUAAGGAGUUCCUGUGCACCUCCUGAAUCUUGUAGCUGUUAGUAACAGCUCAUGUGCUUGCUAAUAGCCUUCCCUUCUUUUGAAUUAAUAUAAGGUAGGGAAAACCUCAGAGGAACAGGCUGUUGCAUUUAACCUGGGGAGGCAGGCUGGAGUGCACAUAUGCACACACUGGCCCUUUAUGGCAGCUCAGCUGAUGGAAGUUCCUUACUACCUUUCUAGAGCCCAGUGGUUAAUACACUGAUCACCCAUAUCCUUUAACAGACUGUGGUUGGGUGAAAGGUGGGAAGCAUGCCCAACCAGAGCACGUGUUGAACAAAUUAUGGUCAGACAGCUCAACGAUUUUUUUUCACAAAGCAAAGAUGCUUUAAAAUUCACGGGUCCUCAAGAGGACACUAAAGGAGCAUAACACAAAAUCCUUGAUAUUCUGUUUUCUGUCAGUAGUGUCUGACCAAAGUAAAGGUUUGCAUGUCUCCAAAAGCUGCAGGUAAUCAUUGUUUUGCUGAGAUCUAUACUUAAACAUACUAACAUUUAAAUUCAUUUAUUGUUUCUGCUGACUCCCUAGCAGGUGCUAUUUUUACUGUAAGUACAUAAGGGAUUGUUAGGGAACUUGGUCACUGUUAUACACAGGAGUAAAUCUCAUUCACUUCAGGUCUCCAAAAUGUUCAAUCUGUUUUGCUAAAUCCUCAUUUUGUUAUAUAUCCAAUGCAUCCAGAAGCUCUUUUUAUCUUAAGUCUUUGAAAAAAUGCUGAAAAUGACAUGUAACUCAGCUUAUCAUUUUCCUUGUAAAAUCAAUGCUUCUAGAAUGCUGGAUCCCAGAGUUUUGCAAUUUUUCAUUGAUCUCAUUCACCCUGUUUCCCAUGAGAGCUUUUCUGAAAUACUGCUAUUGAGUAACAUUCUUGCUAGUAUGAAGGGAAUAGAGAAGGAAAAACCUUUGCUGGUUGAGUAAAAUGCAGAAUGACACAAAACAUCCAAUUCAGCCUCCUUUAGGGUGUUUAAGACACAGAACUCAUUUUUCUGGAUGAAAAGCAGACAGUGACACUGCCAGCAGCAACUGUGUCAGCUCAGGUUCUCCCAGCAGGAGGGACAUACAGGGUGGCUGGAGUGGGAAACGCAACAGAUGCCACAAAUGGAAGUGCUCAUUUAGAGCCCAUAUUUUAGAUAAAAUGAGACGUGGGGCAUAUAAAACUUAACAUUGACUCCUCAGAAUAUAACAAACACAACUGCUCACUAAUGAGAAGUAUAGAACAAUGAGAUCUAUUUAAAAUGGGGGUCCUAGCUUAUUUUCAGAGCAUCUAGAUGUGGGUGAAUAAUGAAUGGUUUAGCCACAAAACUUUUCAAGAGAAAAAUUAGGGAAGAAUAAAAGGGAAAUGUUUUGAGCAGCAAAAAACCUUUCCCCCACUCCCAGAAUACUUUAAUAAAUUACAUAGUAAUUGCAUUAUAUGCCAUUUAGUUAACCAAAAUGCUUCAUAUCCUAUUUUAUAUUUAUCCUCAUUAAAAAAGUCUAUUGUAUCUCUUUUUAAAGGAAAAAAAAUAGAGACAUUUUUUAAGAACCUAAAUAUCGGAAAGAGCUAAAUAUAUAUUUUAAAGAAGAAAAAAAAGUAAUUUUGAAGACUCAUGCACAAUACAAAAAUAAGUCACUUCAAGUUCAACUACAUAAGCCUCUUAUACUCCUUUUGAUAAAAUAGAAAUUAAUUUUAAAGACAAAAUAUUUUAAAAUAAAUGUUUCAAAUAUGACUGCCUUGCAGAGUUUACAAUCAAUUAAAAUAAAAUUAAUCACAUUUUUUCAAAGUAAUUUAAGCAUAUUUGGAUGCUCCUCAAGCCUUUAAAAUAAGUGACAGAUAUUGAUUAAGUUUAGCAGUUUCCCAGCACUUACUUGUUAUUGGAAUGGUUCUGUGAACAAAGCUGUUUGUGUUAACUUGGGACUAAUUAAUAAAGCAGUGCCUGCCAUGAUCUGUAGAUCAUCAAAACCCUGAUUAGGAGGGCUACAGUGACUUUGUUUCUCUGUAUAUAUAAAGUGAUCAUUUCCACUGCCUACUAUAGAAACAAAAAUUUACCUACAAAACCUACCUGAUUCUUAAAGGAAAGGAGAAUAUGUGAAUUGCUAGCUACAGCUAAGGAAAAGUUCUUUUUUUUUUUUUAACCUAUUUUAAUUUUAUUUUUUUUUAGUGAUUACAUUCUGUCAAUCUACUUAUAAAGGUGACAGACACUUCAUUCUUAUUAUAUAUAUUAUUCUCUAAUAGGUUCUACCAUAAUACCUUUUACCUGAAGUUCAGUAUAUUCUCUAGAUUGUUGCUCAAUUAAAAUGUGCUAUGUCUGCUUAUCUGCACUGGAAAAGUGCAGGAAUCUAUUUACAGCAGCAAGGCAAAAAGAUAUGGAAAGGUCCAUGGCCCUGCAUUAUUGCUGGCGUACUUAGCAAACACUAGGUUACUGCUGCUUGAAGCCCAGACAGAGAACUGCAGUUGCUUGUGUUUUCUCAGGAAUGCUUUUUCUCCAUUCAUGCCUCUUCUUUUACUUUGAACUCAUACAAGCAAUCAGUCUCUUAAAUUCCUCAGAUGUUUUAUCCAUAAAGCAGUUACCUGGUGGCCCUCUCGUCAUCUUCAUGUGAGCCUCAGGUGUGGCUUGAAUAUGCUACAGCUCUGCAUAAGGUGAGUUACAUAUGGGUGAGUGGCAGAAGAGAGGUGCAAAUAGCUUGAGACGGGCAAUGAUGAAGAUUACAAACAGCACUUACAUGUCAUUGUUUCCAUGACCUGUUUCAUUUCAUGAGUGGUCUGGGGUUAAAAAUACUGUUCUGCCUGCUGCACAGUUUGCUUGUGAUUCAGGCAGACUAUGUCUGUCAGAGAGAACUAUAGGCAAAUACAGCUAGAUUAGACGUGCCAAGGCUGACUUCCACUGGGGCAUGCUUUGUACAGCUUCUUUUGUAUUUAGCUCACCUGGAAAAGCUGUUGUUUCCAGACCACCAGAGUCCCAGGAUGAACCUCAGCUGUGGUAACGUUUAGGAUGCAUGCACAGCUAUUCUGGGUCCUGCAUGGGAAAUUCUGCUAAUUGGGUAAACCCACUGUAGUGUACAGGCACCAACUGGCAGACACAACUUUCACAAUGAGAGAGAUCCAUAAUUUUCAAAUGUAACUAACAAUUUGUGACAAUAAAGCAGCAACACGAGCCAAGAUGCUGGCACUUCUUCUUGUCACCUCUUUCAAGCACGGUAACUAGAAUUUGCAUUUGUUUCUUUUCCAAAAGCAGUAACUUAUUUUAUAAAGAAGGCAUUUAAUGCGUACAUUUUCUUUGGCACAAUUUUAUUUUUAAACCAAAGUCUCUGAAGAGUUUAGUCUCAUCUCUUUUAAGAAAAGAACCUGAACAAUAUUUAAUUAAAAUUGUAUCCAACCACAGAAAUGUUAUUAUCCAUAGGCACUGAGAUCAGAAUUGUCUCAAAAAGGGUAAAUAACAUAAUUGUGAUAAAGGAAGGUGAAGAUGAUGGAAUUAUACGAAAUUAUGAGUGACAGACACGGCAAAACAAAAAUUCGUGUUUAAACUUUCUUAUAGUAAUAAAAGGAUGGUCAGUGAAUUGGAAAGGUAGUGCAUUUCAAACCCACAAAAGCAAACAGUUUAUUAACAUACAGCCUAGCUGCCCAUCGUCAUUCAUGAUACAGCAUCAUGGUUACACAGACUGUAACUGACUACAUCUGUGUCUCCCUUGUGCAGUGCAUACCCCUGGCUAUUAGCACUCCUUGGAGGGGAAUGUACAUUUUUUUCAUUUUUAGAUCACGCCCUGGGCUACGAUACAUAGGAUAUUUAUCACUUUUACCCUGCAGGUUAAAAUUCAUACAGAAGUCACACACACAGAUCACACACACAGAAUCUCUAGGUUGGAAGAGACCUCAAGAUCAUCGAGUCCAACCU